GUGACAGUAAUGGAGACUGAAGUCCUCUACUUAUCCACAAAACAGAUACAACACAGACAGCAGAAGUGUGAGACUCCUGCUGAAAUGCCUCAGCUUUGUCCUGAAGGGACCAUGACCCUCUCUAGGGAUAAGAGGCAAUGUGGACAACUCAUGAUUUUAUCAUGAGUCUCUUAAU
ensembl:misc_RNA